rnacentral:other from 1 species
AUAGUGCUGUGGCAUACGAAUUCACAUCUAAGUGUUGACCGACUAUCUUUUUGUAUUUUCGGGAAACAAAGUCUAUCUCUAGUGUGCAAGCCGUUUCACGCGGAAGCAGUCUGAAGAGAAGCACGUUACCCACCUGUCUAUAAUGUGCGGGAUCAAUACAAUACGUGAAUCAGCGGUGCCAAUACAGCAUUCUA